rnacentral:sRNA from 1 species
AAUCCAUAAGUUUAUAAGCUGAAGUUGAUAUCACUACUUGCAUUAAUUUUGUAUAUAUAUUUCUAAAAAUUGAUUGAAAAGAUAAAUUUUAACGUACGUUGUUGAUUAACUUUUCAAGAGGUUAAAAAAUUCACAUUAAUUUCAGAAGUUAAUUUUAUAAUAUUUAUUUUAUUUACGUUGGAUAUUCACUCACCUAUAAAUAGUUUACAUAGUUUCAUGUCUAGAAUACCAAAUUAAAAAAAAACAUACUUCAUUAUAUUCUUUUCAUACACUAAGAAUAAGUCGGUAAAUUCCAAGGAUACGAAAAUUAUGGCUAGGUUAAGCUCCCAUGUUAUUGCGCUAUUCAUUGUUGUAGCUUUGGUGUGUGCGUUUGUUCCUGUAUUUUCUGUCGAAGAAGCUGAAGCAAAAUCAUUAUGGAACACUUGUCUAGUUAAAAUCACUCCUAAAUGUGCAUUGAAUAUAAUUUAUGUUGUUUUUGGAAAUGGAACCCUCAUUGAAUCUUGUUGCUACGAUCUUGUCCAAGAAGGAAAAGUGUGCCAUGAUAAUCUCAUUAAAUAUAUUGCUGACAGACCAAGCUUAAUUGGCCGCAAAGCACAAUACUUGAAGAAGAGGGAUGACGUGUGGAAUCACUGUGUCUCAAUUUCUAAAACUGCUUAAAAUAUGUGUGUUUUUGAUACUAUUUUGAUCGAAUAUAUUUAUAUUUUGUCUUUGUAACAUUUUCGUUAUCAUAAAUUUAUUUCUAUGUACUAAAUUUAAUAAAAAAUAAAUUAAAGCAAUCUGUCGUAAGAUGAAUAAAAUUUCAGUUUUU